GACGAACGCUGGCGGCGUGCUUAACACAUGCAAGUCGAACGGAAAGGCCCUGCUUUUGUGGGGUGCUCGAGUGGCGAACUGGUGAGUAACACGUGAGUAACCUGCCCUUGACUUUGGGAUAACUUCAGGAAACUGGGGCUCAUACCGGAUAGGAGCUCCUGCUGCAUGGUGGGGGUUGGAAAGUUUCGGCGGUUGGGGAUAGACUCGCGGCUUAUCAGCUUGUUGGUGGGGUAGUGGCUUACCAAGGCUUUGACGGGUAGCCGGCCUGAGAGGGUGACCGGCGACAUUGGGACUGAGAUACGGCGCAGAAGCGUAAGGGAGGCAGCAGUGGGGAAUAUUGCACAAUGGGCGGAAGCCUGAGGCAGAAACGCCGCGUGCGGGAUGACGGCCUUCGGGGUGUAAACAGCUGUCGACUGUGACGAAGCGGGAGUGACGGUAAUGGGUAAAGAAGCACCGGCUAACUACGUG
rnacentral:rRNA from 1 species